rnacentral:lncRNA from 1 species
AGAGGCCACUGGACGGAGUGUGUGCCGGUCUCCAUACGGUCAGAUAUUUAGUGGUAAAUUUGGCGGAUGGGACCGCUAAUCUCCGGUAGGCAGAAACCGAUUUCCAGGUAAAGGCGUCCAGGUUCGGGCCUAGCGGAGGAAGAUGUAUCGACGGCUGGUGGGACGGCCGGCCGGCCUUUCUCUAGCGCCCGUAAUUCUACUCCGACCAGUCGGAUGGCGCGAAUAUCGGGUUUCUCGGCUGGGGCCCAAUUUUCUCCCGUACGCUGGGGGCCGGGUUAAGAACCCGUCCGGUCUUAAAUUUCCUAAAAAACAUUUAAACCUGUCUAAACUCCCUAAAUUUAACGGCCGUAGCCACCGGUAAAGGCGGUUCGGGUGUAGGGCCGCCACCGAAACCAAAAACCGGGAGGGGGCGGUGGCCCCACACCCGGGCUAAGAAAAGUAGCUGGGGCCCCAAUUCCGUCUUUCAACUCCACCGAUUUAUACUACUACGGCGGUGAUCGGAUUUUGGGUAGGAAAUUUCUGGCGGUAGGUCUACCGGACCGUAUCAUCCGGUUAUUAAUUUAAGCGGGAAAAGGAUGGGCUAUCCGUUUUUAGUCGGUUUAAAAGCUGACCCGGAGAAGUCCGGGUGGGCCCGACUAAUUUGUCAAAGUAGGACCGGGCCACUGGGUCUCACUUUAAAACUGGCACGCGGCCGAUUUAAUCCCAGUCAGACUCCUCGGCCUCCGUAAAAGUAUUCCGGAGCUGGUGGUGGCGCUAAAUUCUGGCUAAAUAAGCGGCCUUUAAAAAUCCCUCCCAGCGGUAACGGUCAAACUUAAGCUGGCCUGCCGAGUUUUAGGACCCAUACCCGUUUUUCCUAGGCCUCCACUCGAUAUGGGCUGGGCCGGCACUUCCGACGGAAACGGUGGGCCCGCGCCGGGAAGUAUCUGGCCAGAAAUCCCGAUAAAUUGUCCGUGGAUAAAUAGGGAAAUGCCAGAAAACAUUCGGAGAGUCCCAGUUACAACUGGGAGCUGGGCCCGCGGUUAGUUAAACCCCGGGCUGGAAACCAGGGGUAAGUCGGGGAAAGGUGGCCUGGGUAAGUAUGGCGGGUAGUCGACCAAACUGGAACCGACGGUAAGUAGCCUUAAUUUCGCACCCGAUAAACCUUUCGAUACGGUCGACCCUAGGCCCUAGACCGAACCGAGUACGGUGGCGGAAUAAGGUGGACCACCCAAUUUCCGCCGAAAAGAAGCGCUUCGGGCCGCUGGGCUGGGCAGCCACCGACACCCACGCUUAUUUCCAGGUCGGACCGAUGUUAAGCCUAUCCGGCUGUUUUAAAUCGGCAUCGGGUACCAGCGUUCGUCUUUGACUCGGACAACUUCCACUCCCGGCCCGCACCUAUUUUCUUCGGCUCCACUUCGGCAGACGCAGCCACCUAAAUACCGUAUCUGUCAAUAAAAUCUUGGUGCAGAAAAUACGGGAGGGGAUAGAGCGGUCGGGCUCCGCCACCCCACUAUUUACCUUACCCACUAAGGUAAGGCAGAUAGUCGCGCGGGAUGGAGGUAGCCGGCCCGGGCCGGCUUAACUUUCUCUUAUAAAAUUCGCCUCUGACCCCUCGGCCGUUUAAAGACGGACGGGAUAGAAGAGGAAGCGGUAAACACCGCGCCUUAGGUGGGAUUUACUGGCGGUCCCGGGCUUUAUUCUCCCGUUAUUGGUCUAGCCGUCGACAGUGUCAGCCGACCACCCACUCCUUCCUUUACAUCGAUAGGCUCAGUUUCCACUGGCCCGCUUUCCCGUCGGGUCCCAUAGCUAGUUCCGGGAGACGCCCGGGAAAGGUAGCGUCAGGGACGGCCGCCGGUAUCCUGACGCUACCUUUUCUCCCAGCCUUAGAAAAAGAAGAAAGACGCCGUUUAAGGCGGAAUUUCCACCCAGUGUCAACGCUUUUCCUCUUCCACCGUUAUUUGGCCAAAAUGACCCUGCCCGGGAUUUUUUGGACACCGGAUUCCAUUCUGUCAAAAUACUAAGUGGCCGGGCCCGAUCAGCCCUUCCACCGGCUGCCCAGCCCGGCGGAGGGGUGGACCGGAUGGUGGAGGACGGGCCCGUGGGCGGAACUACACUGCGCCGGACCUCGCCUGGCGGGGGGACUCAAAUCCUCUCGAUCCGCACUUUACCCUUUUUUUAAAUUAACGACAUAAUAAGAUAAAGACGAAAAGCACCAGCCCGAAGAGCGAGAGGUGGAUGGAAGCCCAAAAUAUGGAAAUAAAAGAUUUUUGCGACUUUAAAAUCCAGCCAGAAGAAUAUUAAAUAUAUUUUCUUUCGAUAACUGUCGAUGGUGUUUUAAGUGAUGUUCGUUUUUGUUAUUUUCUAAUAAAAAUUUGUGUUUCUUGGUGGUAGGGGCCCGAAUAAUAUUUGGCGGGUGGCCAAAAGUUUUAAGUUCCGCUAGUGGAUGGCCGGGCCCGGACCCCGCCAUCAACAUUUCCCAGGGGCGAGACUCCAGACUGGAAUCCAAAACGGAUAGCCCGAGAGUUUCCAGACGGCCGUCGGGUCCGAGCCGGUCUAUGACAGCCCGGGCUCGACCCGACUGGCAGUUAUUCGAUGAUGGCCCAGAACCUGGGUGGGAAAUUAAAAUCGACCAGCCUGGGCUGGACGUCCCACCAUCCCCGGUUUUCACUCUACCUUUUUUUAUUCCGGAGUAUUUUUCUUUGGCCUUCCUCCGAAUGUCCGGCCCUGGCUCUAACGGAAAAUAAUCGCUUUUGGCCAUUGGUACCCGGGCUCCGGCUCUACUAUUAUUGGAAAUGUAAAAAGUCCAUCUACGGGUGAGUCGAUAGACAGCUUCGGCCAGGUGUAGCUCUGGAAUGACCAAAGGGUGGCUGCGUACUUCCUCACCUCCAAACGUCAGUUUAAUCCGCUACUUACGGGUUUCUUUCGGCUUCUGCCGGGAAAUUCCGCCCGGGGUGGUCGGAACUUGGCUGGAGAACCGAAAAAAUGGGCUAGUUUCGGUAAAACUCGGUUAAUCGAGGAUCGAAAAGUGCCAGUUACGCUAUAAUUUUUCCCAGGGCUGGUCCGUUAGGCGGGUAAACCCUCCGGUGUUUUUAAAUGGGUAACAGCCCUUCCUUCCCGCCCGCGUCCGGCCCAGCCAGAAUUACGGACUACGGGUAGAGGCCGACAGGCCGAAUUUUUUUAAUAUUUUUCGGAAAGCGCGGGUAUCCAGCCCUAAAGCCGCGGCCGGUCCAAACCACGGAGUUAAAAUCGUUUUAAGUAGAUAGGGCGGAACUCGGAGGGUGGACGGACCGUCCGACAUCCUGGGCCACAGGGGUGAGCCGGAAUAAUUUCCCCUCUUCCAUUUUAAGUCCGCGGUCGAAUUAGAGGAUGUUCGGCGGCCCAGCCUUUUUAGCGCCGGAGGGUGAGAAUCGGCCCCAUCCGGAACACCACCACCGGCACCCGCCGAUUGGAUCCGGACCGUGUCGGGUCGGCCCACCAUACAAAUCGACCGGAAUAAUCGAUUGGGGCGCCGAUUCCAGCGGUCACAGCUCGGGACCGUUCCAUUUAUUGGAUGUCAACGGCGGGGGUAGGUAGGCCGAAUGAGGGGUGCUGGUCCGAUUCGAUUGGCGAAGUUCUGGUUUAUUAUUGGCCAACGAAUCUGGGUUGUUAUUCGUGUAGUCAGCUGUGGCGUCGUGUAAUGGCCACUAGGCCAAGUGUUUCGUUGUACUCUAAGAACUUGUCCUAUUUUAUAAAGUCGUCAUCGUUUUAGAUCAGUUCUUCGAUCAAAAGCGGAAACUGGCGUUUGAUGUUUCUGUAUUAAAAAUACUAUACAGUCGGCCCCCGUAUAAUAUCGGAGAUACCUUCCGCCAUACACGGGCUAUGGUAUGGGUUUCCUAGGUAAUGAUGUCUUAUCUGAAAACCCGCCUAGGCCCGCUUCCGGCAUUGUAAUCAAAUUAAGAACGAUAAAGCGUUGGAUAUCCGUCGACGGUAUCAGAAACCCAACCGGGUCUAUCGGUUUCCACUCGAAACUUUAACAACUUUCUAGUCGGGUUAUACCCAUCCGCGGUUUACCAGUCCGUUGUAUACGGGGUUUACCCAUUACGGCAACUUUUAAAAUUCCUUCUUUUUACCGCCCUAUAGUUAGGGUGGGACUUAGGCCCGGCCCUCCCCAGACCGUACACCGGGUUUGGAGUGGACCGCCGUCUCGGGCUAAGCGGACGGAAGAAGCCCGGUUGUUCGACCGAUAAAUGGGAUGGAGAGCGGCCAGGGCCGAAGGGUGAAGAAGCCGUCCGACUCGGGGGAUAGUUGGGGAGGGGAGGCGGGCCGGUCAAACGCUAUCGAGACUGGACUAACCGCCGGCCAUUUUCUUUCAGCUAGGAUUCAGUCUGGCAUCCAACUGGGAAAG